GGGAGUUGUUUUUGUCAUUGGAACAUAUUGACAAGCUGCUUGGAAGGAUGGUCCCAAUGUCUGAGGAGUCCAGAACCAGGAGUCAAAGUCUAAGGAUAUGGGAUGCUGACAGACCUGCUGGGUUUCUCCAGCAAUGUCUGUUUCUGUUACAGUGAAGAUGUUAGCUCCUCAGACUGAUUUCCAGAAUCUGCUGCCCUAUGUGUUGGUUAUCAUGCCAGAUUCUGUUCUCCAGAGAAUGACACAACCAUGACCAGGCAACAACGACUUGCAAUAAUGUAAUACCUUUCACAAAAUAAAACAUC